AGGGGCGCUUGGCAGGCAGUGUGGAUGUGAAAACCCCACCUCUCACUGCCCCACCUGUGUGUCUUCCCCAGGUCUGCCUCUUCCAUUCCUGAUUCCUCACCGGAGCUGAUAUCCCAGGUGGAUCCCCAGGAUGACCUUCUCCUGAACCAGCUGGAGCCUCCUGAGCCCACUGAGGCAGAGCUCCAUGAUCCGGCUCACACUGACGUCCCACCUGCAAAACUCGUGCCAGCUCCACCUGCAGCUCCCGUGGCAGCUCUGGCCCCACAGCAGGAGCCAGCACCUGGAAGCCCUGCUCCACCAGGAACACAGCUGCAACUUCUGGCUCCAUGGCAGGUGUCCUCUCUUCAGAUCUACCUGGACCCAGCUCUUCACCCCUAUCUGCAAUCUCUCUCUCCUACAGAUUUACUUAUCCUGUUAUUCAUUGCUGCCCUUAUUUCCCAGAGACAGGGCAAUGAUGGAAUUCCUUUAAAUAAACUUUAAGGUUUUAGUCUUGUUUGAAAUGAUCAACCUCCUGCAUUUUCAGUGCAUUCUCAGACAUUGGCAAGGUUGUGCAACCUUCACCACAGUUCAUUUCGAAGAUUUUCCUCAAUUCCAGAACCAAAGGUAUUUCCUCCCCUCUCCCCUCCUCUUAGAUCCACUCAUCUCAUCUCCUUGUAAUUUACCUAUUGAACAUUUUUCACAAAACUGCAAUCAUAUGGGUCUUCAGC
rnacentral:lncRNA from 1 species